UGCAGUCGAGCGGAUGAAGGGAGCUUGCUCCUGGAUUCAGCGGCGGACGGGUGAGUAAUGCCUAGGAAUCUGCCUGGUAGUGGGGGAUAACGUCCGGAAACGGGCGCUAAUACCGCAUACGUCCUGAGGGAGAAAGUGGGGGAUCUUCGGACCUCACGCUAUCAGAUGAGCCUAGGUCGGAUUAGCUAGUUGGUGGGGUAAAGGCCUACCAAGGCGACGAUCCGUAACUGGUCUGAGAGGAUGAUCAGUCACACUGGAACUGAGACACGGUCCAGACUCCUACGGGAGGCAGCAGUGGGGAAUAUUGGACAAUGGGCGAAAGCCUGAUCCAGCCAUGCCGCGUGUGUGAAGAAGGUCUUCGGAUUGUAAAGCACUUUAAGUUGGGAGGAAGGGCAGUAAGUUAAUACCUUGCUGUUUUGACGUUACCAACAGAAUAAGCACCGGCUAACUUCGUGCCAGCAGCCGCGGUAAUACGAAGGGUGCAAGCGUUAAUCGGAAUUACUGGGCGUAAAGCGCGCGUAGGUGGUUCAGCAAGUUGGAUGUGAAAUCCCCGGGCUCAACCUGGGAACUGCAUCCAAAACUACUGAGCUAGAGUACGGUAGAGGGUGGUGGAAUUUCCUGUGUAGCGGUGAAAUGCGUAGAUAUAGGAAGGAACACCAGUGGCGAAGGCGACCACCUGGACUGAUACUGACACUGAGGUGCGAAAGCGUGGGGAGCAAACAGGAUUAGAUACCCUGGUAGUCCACGCCGUAAACGAUGUCGACUAGCCGUUGGGAUCCUUGAGAUCUUAGUGGCGCAGCUAACGCGAUAAGUCGACCGCCUGGGGAGUACGGCCGCAAGGUUAAAACUCAAAUGAAUUGACGGGGGCCCGCACAAGCGGUGGAGCAUGUGGUUUAAUU
rnacentral:rRNA from 1 species